GACGAACGCUGGCGGCGUGCUUAACACAUGCAAGUCGAACGGAAAGGCCCUGCUUUUGUGGGGUGCUCGAGUGGCGAACGGGUGAGUAACACGUGAGUAACCUGCCCUUGACUUUGGGAUAACUUCAGGAAACUGGGGCUAAUACCGGAUAGGAGCUCCUGCUGCAUGGUGGGGGUUGGAAAGUUUCGGCGGUUGGGGAUGGACUCGCGGCUUAUCAGCUUGUUGGUGGGGUAGUGGCUUACCAAGGCUUUGACGGGUAGCCGGCCUGAGAGGGUGACCGGCCACAUUGGGACUGAGAUACGGCCCAGACUCCUACGGGGGGCAGCAGUGGGGAAUAUUGCACAAUGGGCGGAAGCCUGAUGCAGCAACGCCGCGUGCGGGAUGACGGCCUUCGGGUUGUAAACCGCUUUCGCCUGUGACGAAGCGUGAGUGACGGUAAUGGGUAAAGAAGCACCGGCUAACUACGUGCCAGCAGCCGCGGUGAUACGUAGGGUGCGAGCGUUGUCCGGAUUUAUUGGGCGUAAAGGGCUCGUAGGUGGUUGAUCGCGUCGGAAGUGUAAUCUUGGGGCUUAACCCUGAGCGUGCUUUCGAUACGGGUUGACUUGAGGAAGGUAGGGGAGAAUGGAAUUCCUGGUGGAGCGGUGGAAUGCGCAGAUAUCAGGAGGAACACCAGUGGCGAAGGCGGUUCUCUGGGCCUUUCCUGACGCUGAGGAGCGAAAGCGUGGGGAGCGAACAGGCUUAGAUACCCUGGUAGUCCACGCUGUAAACGGUGGGUACUAGGUGUGGGGCCCAUUCCACGGGUUCCGUGCCGUAGCUAACGCUUUAAGUACCCCGCCUGGGGAGUACGGCCGCAAGGCUAAAACUCAAAGGAAUUGACGGGGCCCCGCACAAGCGGCGGAGCAUGCGGAUUAAUUCGAUGCAACGCGUAGAACCUUACCUGGGUUUGACAUGGAUCGGGAGCGCUCAGAGAUGGGUGUGCCUCUUUUGGGGUCGGUUCACAGGUGGUGCAUGGCUGUCGUCAGCUCGUGUCGUGAGAUGUUGGGUUAAGUCCCGCAACGAGCGCAACCCUUGUUCACUGUUGCCAGCACGUUAUGGUGGGGACUCAGUGGAGACCGCCGGGGUCAACUCGGAGGAAGGUGGGGAUGACGUCAAGUCAUCAUGCCCCUUAUGUCCAGGGCUUCACGCAUGCUACAAUGGCUGGUACAGAGAGUGGCGAGCCUGUGAGGGUGAGCGAAUCUCGGAAAGCCGGUCUCAGUUCGGAUUGGGGUCUGCAACUCGACCUCAUGAAGUCGGAGUCGCUAGUAAUCGCAGAUCAGCAACGCUGCGGUGAAUACGUUCCCGGG
rnacentral:rRNA from 1 species